CCCUUAGAUGUUCUGGGCCGCACGCGCGCUACACUGAUGCGUUCAACAAGUUUCCUUGGCCGAGAGGCCUGGGCAAUCUUCUUAAUAUGUAUCGUGAUAGGGAUAGAUUAUUGCAAUUAUUAAUCUUGAACGAGGAAUUCCUAGUAAACGCAGAUCAUCAAUCUGCAUUGAUUACGUCCCUGCCCUUUGUACACACCGCCCGUCGCACCUACCGAUUGGAUGUUCCGGUGAAGCCUCGGGAUGAGGACUGGUGCCUUUAUUGGCAUGAGUUGUUCAGAACUUGUCUAAACCUUAUCAUCUAGAGGAAGGUGAAGUCGUAAAA
rnacentral:rRNA from 1 species